rnacentral:rRNA from 1 species
CCUACGGGUGGCAGCAGUGGGGAAUAUUGCACAAUGGGGGAAACCCUGAUGCAGCGACGCCGCGUGGGUGACGAAGUAUUUCGGUAUGUAAAGCCCUAUCAGCAGGGAAGAAGAUGACAGUACCUGACUAAGAAGCCCCGGCUAACUACGUGCCAGCAGCCGCGGUAAUACGUAGGGGGCAAGCGUUAUCCGGAUUUACUGGGUGUAAAGGGAGCGUAGGUGGCAUGGCAAGCCAGAAGUGAAAACCCGGGGCUUAACCGCGGGACUGCUUUUGAAACUGUGUAGCUAGAGUGCAGGAGAGGUAAGUGGAAUUCCUAGUGUAGCGGUGAAAUGCGUAGAUAUUAGGAGGAACACCGGUGGCGAAGGCGGCUUACUGGACUGUAACUGACGUUGAGGCUCGAAAGCGUGGGGAGCAAACAGGAUUAGAUACCCCAGUAGUC